UUUAAGGGCACACGGUGGAUGCCUUGGCAUAUCAAGCCGAUGAAGGACGUGAGAGGCUGCGUUAUGCCUCGGGGAGUUGCCAACUAAGCGUUGAUCCGAGGAUGUCCGAAUGGGGAAACCCAGCCGCAGUGAUGUGUGGUUACCUGCCGGUGAAUAUAUAGCCGGUGUGGAGGUUGACACGGGGAAGUGAAACAUCUCAGUACCCGUAGGAGAAGAAAACAAUUGUGAUUCCGUUAGUAGUGGCGAGCGAACGCGGAUGAUGGCUAAAACCUAUGUGUGUGAUACCCGGCAGGGGUUGCAUGUAGGUGGUUGUGGGGCAAUGGCGUUUGUGUUCUGCCGGACACUGGCAUGAUGAUCGUGGGUUAGUGGAAGUGGUGUGGAAACGCCUACCGUAGAAGGUGAAAGUCCUGUACGCGAAGACCUGUGGUGUUGUGUGGUUGUUGUACCCGAGUAGCAGCGGGCUCGUGAAAUCUGCUGUGAAUCUGCCGGGACCACUCGGUAAGCCUGAAUACUUGAUAUGACCGAUAGCGGAUUAGUACCGUGAGGGAAUGGUGAAAAGUACCCCGGGAGGGGAGUGAAAUAGUACCUGAAACCGUGUGCUUACAAUCCGUCAGAGCCGCCUUGUGUGGUGAUGGCGUGCCUUUUGAAGAAUGAGCCUGCGAGUUAGUGCUGCGUGGCGAGGUUAACCCGUGUGGGGUAGCCGUAGCGAGAGCGAGUCCGAAGAGGGCGAUUGUAGUGGCGCGUUCUGGACCCGAAGCGGGGUGAUCUACCCAUGGCCAGGUUGAA
rnacentral:rRNA from 14 species